AUUGAACGCUGGCGGCAGGCCUAACACAUGCAAGUCGAACGGUAACAGGAAGAAGCUUGCUUCUUUGCUGACGAGUGGCGGACGGGUGAGUCAUGUCUGGGAAACUGCCUGAUGGAGGGGGAUAACUACUGGAAACGGUAGCUAAUACCGCAUAACGUCGCAAGCCCAAAGAGGGGGACCUUCGGGCCUCUUGCCAUCGGAUGUGCCCAGAUGGGAUUAGCUAGUAGGUGGGGUAACGGCUCACCUAGGCGACGAUCCCUAGCUGGUCUGAGAGGAUGACCGGCCACACUGGAACUGAGACACGGUCCAGACUCCUACGGGAGGCAGCAGUGGGGAAUAUUGCACAAUGGGCGCAAGCCUGAUGCAGCCAUGCCGCGUGUAUGAAGAAGGCCUUCGGGUUGUAAAGUACUUUCAGCGGGGAGGAAGGGAGUAAAGUUAAUACCUUGGCUGAUUGACGGUACCCGCAGAAGAAGCACCGGCUAACUCCGUG
rnacentral:rRNA from 1 species